UCUACGGGAGGCAGCAGUAGGGAAUCUUCCGCAAUGGGCGAAAGCCUGACGGAGCAACGCCGCGUGAGUGAUGAAGGGUUUCGGCUCGUAAAGCUCUGUUGUUAAAGAAGAACGUGGGUAAGAGUAACUGUUUACCCAGUGACGGUAUUUAACCAGAAAGCCACGGCUAACUACGUGCCAGCAGCCGCGGUAAUA
rnacentral:rRNA from 2 species